CAUGAGGGAAGAAAAACUAAAAGUCCAUGUUAACUUUAAUAACCCUGUUCUCAAUCAAGGGUCCAAGGCUCUCACUAGGGGUCCUCUUCAAAUUCCUAAGGGAGCACCAAGAUCUAAUUUGUUUUACAGACACCUUCUCCCUCGAGGGAUGUCUGGCUGAGACUGACUGUGAAUAGUGGACUUCUUGAUUGGAGUUAAGGCUGUUGGUGAGGAAUAACCAGGGUUUGAUCCGGGCUGACAGGCUCUCCCAGCGGGAAGGGCCCAGCACAUUACCACAGAUCCAUCAGCUGUCCAUCGCUGUAGGUCUCGGCGGUCCCGUGAAACUGUGGCAGGUAUAGAGGCACCUGUCAAGCUCUGAAUGCUGUGAGAAGGUGUGGUGUGCGACGAGGUGUUCCCAGCGGGCCGGUGGAAAGUUCAUGCUGUCAAUGGGACGAAAGAUUGGUGCAUGUUCGUUGUACUUGUUAGAGGACGAUGUUUUAUGUAUCAGCUGGUUAGAAAAAGUCAGAAGAGAUUGGCUUCAGUGAGGACUGGGGCUAUGUUUAAUUG
ensembl:lncRNA